AGCGAACGCUGGCGGCAGGCCUAACACAUGCAAGUCGAACGAACCUUUCGGGGUUAGUGGCGGACGGGUGAGUAACACGUGGGAACGUGCCUUUAGGUUCGGAAUAACUCAGGGAAACUUGUGCUAAUACCGAAUGUGCCCUUCGGGGGAAAGAUUUAUCGCCUUUAGAGCGACCCGCGUCUGAUUAGCUAGUUGGUUGAGGUAAUGGCUCACCAAGGCGACGAUCAGUAGCUGGUCUGAGAGGAUGAUCAGCCACAUUGGGACUGAGACACGGCCCAAACUCCUACGGGAGGCAGCAGUGGGGAAUCUUGCGCAAUGGGCGAAAGCCUGACGCAGCCAUGCCGCGUGAAUGAUGAAGGUCUUAGGAUUGUAAAAUUCUUUCACCGGGGACGAUAAUGACGGUACCCGGAGAAGAAGCCCCGGCUAACUUCGUG
rnacentral:rRNA from 1 species